rnacentral:misc_RNA from 1 species
UCACCCCUCAAGCCCUGGCUUGGUGUUGGACUUUAGUUUUAGCUUUGCCUAUCAACUGGUCUCAAAGAUAGUGACGGCGCCCCAGAGGGAACCGGGUACGAGGAGCUUUUUACUAAGCAUGUAUCUGGGGCGACUCUGAUGGGCGACGGUCUUGUUAUACAUUUACCUAG